rnacentral:rRNA from 1 species
AACGAUGAACCUCACUUGUGGGGGGAUUAGUGGCGAACGGGUGAGUAACACGUGAGUAACCUGCCCUUGACUCUGGGAUAAGCCUGGGAAACCGGGUCUAAUACUGGAUACGACCUUCUGGCGCAUGCCAUGUUGGUGGAAAGCUUUAUUGUGGUUUUGGAUGGACUCGCGGCCUAUCAGCUUGUUGGUGGGGUAAUGGCCUACCAAGGCGACGACGGGUAGCCGGCCUGAGAGGGUGACCGGCCACACUGGGACUGAGACACGGCCCAGACUCCUACGGGAGGCAGCAGUGGGGAAUAUUGCACAAUGGGCGCAAGCCUGAUGCAGCGACGCCGCGUGAGGGAUGAAGGCCUUCGGGUUGUAAACCUCUUUCAGUAGGGAAGAAGCGAAAGUGACGGUACCUGCAGAAGAAGCGCCGGCUAACUACGUGCCAGCAGCCGCGGUAAUACGUAGGGCGCAAGCGUUAUCCGGAAUUAUUGGGCGUAAAGAGCUCGUAGGCGGUUUGUCGCGUCUGCCGUGAAAGUCCGGGGCUUAACUCCGGAUCUGCGGUGGGUACGGGCAGACUAGAGUGCAGUAGGGGAGACUGGAAUUCCUGGUGUAGCGGUGAAAUGCGCAGAUAUCAGGAGGAACACCGAUGGCGAAGGCAGGUCUCUGGGCUGUAACUGACGCUGAGGAGCGAAAGCAUGGGGAGCGAACAGGAUUAGAUACCCUGGUAGUCCAUGCCGUAAACGUUGGGCACUAGGUGUGGGGGACAUUCCACGUUUUCCGCGCCGUAGCUAACGCAUUAAGUGCCNCCGCCUGGGGAGUACGGCCGCAAGGCUAAAACUCAGA